rnacentral:misc_RNA from 1 species
UUAAGUUCAGCGGGUAUCCCUACCUGAUCCGAGGUCAAGCGUUAAAAAUUGGGCUUUGUGGACGCCGCAACACGGUGGAGAGCGCAAAUUGUGCUGCGCUCAAACACCAGAUUGCCGGCUGCCAAUACAUUUGAGGCGAGUUCGCGCGCGCGGCGGAACAAACACCCAACACCAAGCAGAGCUUGAGGGUACAAAUGACG